rnacentral:rRNA from 1 species
UGGGGAAUAUUGCACAAUGGGCGCAAGCCUGAUGCAGCCAUGCCGCGUGUAUGAAGAAGGCCUUCGGGUUGUAAAGCACUUUCAGCGGGGAGGAAGGCGGUGAGGUUAAUAACCUCACCGAUUGACGUUACCCGCAGAAGAAGCACCGGCUAACUCCGUGCCAGCAGCCGCGGUAAUACGGAGGGUGCAAGCGUUAAUCGGAAUUACUGGGCGUAAAGCGCACGCAGGCGGUUUGUUAAGUCAGAUGUGAAAUCCCCGGGCUCAACCUGGGAACUGCAUCUGAUACUGGCAAGCUUGAGUCUCGUAGAGGGGGGUAGAAUUCCAGGUGUAGCGGUGAAAUGCGUAGAGAUCUGGAGGAAUACCGGUGGCGAAGGCGGCCCCCUGGACGAAGACUGACGCUCAGGUGCGAAAGCGUGGGGAGCAAACAGG